UUCCGGAGCUAACGCGUUAAAUCGACCGCCUGGGGAGUACGGCCGCAAGGUUAAAACUCAAAUGAAUUGACGGGGGCCCGCACAAGCGGUGGAGCAUGUGGUUUAAUUCGAUGCAACGCGAAGAACCUUACCUGGUCUUGACAUCCACAGAACUUUCCAGAGAUGGAUUGGUGCCUUCGGGAACUGUGAGACAGGUGCUGCAUGGCUGUCGUCAGCUCGUGUUGUGAAAUGUUGGGUUAAGUCCCGCAACGAGCGCAACCCUUAUCCUUUGUUGCCAGCGGUCCGGCCGGGAACUCAAAGGAGACUGCCAGUGAUAAACUGGAGGAAGGUGGGGAUGACGUCAAGUCAUCAUGGCCCUUACGACCAGGGCUACACACGUGCUACAAUGGCGCAUACAAAGAGAAGCGACCUCGCGAGAGCAAGCGGACCUCAUAAAGUGCGUCGUAGUCCGGAUUGGAGUCUGCAACUCGACUCCAUGAAGUCGGAAUCGCUAGUAAUCGUAGAUCAGAAUGCUACGGUGAAUACGUUCCCGGGCCUUGUACACACCGCCCGUCACACCAUGGGAGUGGGUUGCAAAAGAAGUAGGUAGCUUAACCUUCGGGAGGGCGCUUACCACUUUGUGAUUCAUGACUGGGG
rnacentral:rRNA from 1 species